UACGGGGGAUGCAAGCGUUGUCCGGAAUCAUUGGGCGUAAAGAGUUCGUAGGUGGUUUGUUAAGUUAGGUGUUAAAAGCGCAGGCUCAACUUGUGUAUGGCACUUGAUACUGGCAGACUUGAAUGCGGUAGAGGUAAAGGGAAUUCCUGGUGUAGCGGUGAAAUGCGUAGAUAUCAGGAGGAACAUCGGAGGCGAAAGCGCUUUACUGGGCCGUAAUUGACACUGAGGAACGAAAGCCAGGGUAGCAAAU
rnacentral:rRNA from 1 species